GACGAACGCUGGCGGCGUGCCUAAUACAUGCAAGUCGAACGAGAGCGACCGGUGCUUGCACUGGUCAAUCUAGUGGCGAACGGGUGAGUAACACGUGGGUAACCUGCCCAUCAGAGGGGGAUAACAUCCGGAAACGGAUGCUAAAACCGCAUAGGUCUUCGAACCGCAUGGUUUGAAGAGGAAAAGAGGCGCAAGCUUCUGCUGAUGGAUGGACCCGCGGUGCAUUAGCUAGUUGGUGAGGUAACGGCUCACUAAGGCCGUGAUGCAUAGCCGACCUGAGAGGGUGAUCGGCCACAUUGGGACUGAGACACGGCCCAAACUCCUACGGGAGGCAGCAGUAGGGAAUCUUCCGCAAUGGACGCAAGUCUGACGGAGCAACGCCGCGUGAGUGAAGAAGGUUUUCGGAUCGUAAAACUCUGUUGUUAGAGAAGAACAAGUGCUAGAGUAACUGUUAGCGCCUUGACGGUAUCUAACCAGAAAGCCACGGCUAACUACGUG
rnacentral:rRNA from 1 species